AGCAGCCGCGGUAAUUCCAGCUCCAAUAGCGUAUAUUAAAGUUGUUGCAGUUAAAAAGCUCGUAGUUGAAUUUCGGGGUCAGUAGGUUGGUCGUGCCACAGGUAUGCACUGGUCUCACUGAUUCCUCCUUCCUGAUGAACCGUAAUGCCAUUAAUUUGGUGUUGCGGGGAGACUGGACUGUUACUUUGAAAAAAUUAGAGUGUUUAAAGCAGGCUAACGCUUGAAUACAUUAGCAUGGAAUAACGGAAUAGGACGUUCGAUCUUAUUUUGUUGGUUUCUAAGAUUGACGUAAUGAUUAAUAGGGAUAGUUGGGGGCAUUAGUAUUCAAUUGUCAGAGGUGAAAUUCUUGGAUUUAUUGAAGACUAACUACUGCGAAAGCAUUUGCCAAGGAUGUUUUCAUUAAUCAAGAACGAAAGUUAGGGGAUCGAAGACGAUCAGAUACCGUCGUAGUCUUAACCAUAAACUAUGCCGACUAGGGAUCGGAUGACGUUAAUUUUUUAAUGACUCAUUCGGCGCCUUA
rnacentral:sRNA from 1 species